AGGGAGAGGAAGGAGAAAGGUGAAGAAGUUAGGGUUUGGGAGAGAGGAAGAGCAAAGAAACAAAGUUGGAGAUCGAAUCCAAGGCAAGAAACUUCAAAGCAAUACUUCUCUUGGUACUGGAAAAGGAGUUUGGGUGGUGGAUCCACUCAUUCCGGCAAGAAAAUCCGAGAAUGGACAAAGUUUCUUGAAGUUUCUGGACGAAAAUCGGAGUUUCAAGAAAACGCGAUUUUUGGAGGAGAGAGGAGGCAUCACCGCCACAUGUCGGCCGACGUACGGAGGAGUGCAGCAGGACCGACGAGUGACACGUGGCGACCGUGGGCUGGAGAAGCGCAUCAGGCGCGCGCA